rnacentral:rRNA from 1 species
GUAGUCCAUGCCGUAAACGUUUGGCACUAGGUGUGGGGGACAUUCCACGUUUUCCGCGCCGUAGCUAACGCAUUAAGUGCCCCGCCUGGGGAGUACGGCCGCAAGGCUAAAACUCAAAGGAAUUGACGGGGGCCCGCACAAGCGGCGGAGCAUGCUGAUUAAUUCGAUGCAACGCGAAUAACCUUACCAAGGCUUGACAUGUGCCAGACCGCCGUGGAAACACGGUUUCCCCUUUGGGGCUGGUUCACAGGUGGUGCAUGGUUGUCGUCAGCUCGUGUCGUGAGAUGUUGGGUUAAGUCCCGCAACGAGCGCAACCCUCGUUCCAUGUUGCCAGCGCGUAAAGGCGGGGACUCAUGGGAGACUGCCGGGGUCAACUCGGA